GCCAAGGGAACGGGCUUGGCAG
rnacentral:snRNA from 1 species